GGGACAGUCUCCCAGCUUGGCCUCAGAGCCAUGUGUUAGUGAACAGCAGUGGCUGGUUUCCAAUAACCUGCAUUUAUCAAAGCAGGCUGGCAGAAGCACUGGCCCUAGCUUGCCAGUUUCUGACCCACCUAGUCAUGGGCAGCCCCACCCCCAGAUAGCAACUGGAGAACGGGAUGUGGACUGCUGUGAGGCAGAGAUGGAGACAAAGCAAAGAAAAUCUGUGAAGAGACUCUGGAGAGGGAGGCAGAAGGAAGGAGCCGCUGGAAGGGGAAGCAAGACAGAAGAAUGGGGACUGGGAAGGGAACUGGGGAUGGAUACCUGGCUAUUUGAUGAUGCACCCGUCGAAACAUUAAUCCUCCUUUAAAGAAAACCCUUUAAUGUCUGCACCACUUUUCUCCAGAUUUCUAGAAUAGUCUGUAUCUCACUCCUCUUGAUUCGCAUGCUGGCAGGGGAGGUUAGCAUUGCAGUGCCGAGGCUGGCUUCAAGACAGUCCAGCUACAUUUGGGCUGCAGUCAAGGUUGUUGGAAAAUUAAAAUCUUACCACUUAAAUCCAAGCUGCAUGUGACACCUAUGACAAACCACUUUUGGCUGGUUAUGUAGCUCUGUAUUAGAGCAGUUGUCUGGAAUAGGGCGGUUGGUUUGAUCCGCAGCCCUAGUCAAGAGUAAGAAGAAAACUUUGGGACUGGGGAGAUGACUCAGUUGCUAAUAGCACAUGCCACGCUGCAGAGGACUAGGAACAGAUUCCCAGGCCCCACAUGGUGGCUUGCAACCAUAAUCCAUGAUUCGGUUCUUAGAAUCUAAUGCCUUCCUGGGCACUAGGUACACAUAUGUUACACACAUGUUCAGGUAAAA
rnacentral:lncRNA from 1 species